GCACUCACUUCAGUGGCACAUCCAGUAAAAUGGAAGGAAACAGAGAAGAUAGCAUGGACCCUGCACAAAGAUAACACCCAAAUGUAUCAAGCAUUCCAAAUUUAA